GUCUUUUUAGUAUAAAAAUAUAAAUGAUUUCCAAUUAUUUGAUUUCAGCCUAAUCUGAAAAAAGACA
rnacentral:tRNA from 1 species